rnacentral:snoRNA from 13 species
CGGCAUGUUCUUCAAGGGCCGAGGCUGGACGCAGUAGCCUCGGCGUCUCCAACUGCAUGCCACAACAGCCUGGAGAGACUUUGACAGCGCAGAGCCUGCCGUGCCUGGUGCUGCCACUCGGCUCUCCCACAGUU